rnacentral:rRNA from 1 species
AUUGAACGCUGGCGGAAUGCUUUACACAUGCAAGUCGAACGGUAGAGGGGGCAACCCCUUGAGAGUGGCGAACGGGUGAGUAAUAUAUCGGAACGUGCCCAGUCGUGGGGAUAACGUAGCGAAAGUUACGCUAAUACCGCAUACGAUCUAAGGAUGAAAGCGGGGGAUCGCAAGACCUCGCGCGAUUGGAGCGGCCGAUAUCAGAUUAGGUAGUUGGUGAGGUAAAGGCUCACCAAGCCAACGAUCUGUAGCUGGUCUGAGAGGACGACCAGCCACACUGGAACUGAGACACGGUCCAGACUCCUACGGGAGGCAGCAGUGGGGAAUUUUGGACAAUGGGCGCAAGCCUGAUCCAGCAAUGCCGCGUGCAGGAU